CGGCAUCCCACCGCCCUACGACAAGAAAAAGCGGAUGGUGGUUCCUGCUGCCCUCAAGGUCGUGCGUCUGAAGCCUACAAGAAAGGUGAGUCCCAGCUUAUGCUGCACCAUCUACUUGGGAGAUUUCAGGCCUGCUGAGGGACCUGGGGACCCGGAGCCUGGCAGAUGAUGUCCUUAUCUCACGAUGGUCUGCGGAUGUCCCUGCGGGAAUGGCGACAAUGCCAAUGGCUUAGCUGAUGCCAGGAGGCUUGGGUGGGUGCUUUUCUAACAGGCCUUCAGAGAACAGUUGCAUUAUGAUAUGCCCAGCUGUCAGUCACCUCCCAGCUCUCACCAGCUCCGGCUCUUCAGGGUGUGGGGGCUUAGAUAUCCUUACAACUUCAUUUGUUCACCGCCCCCGCAGUUUGCCUAUCUGGGGCGCCUGGCUCACGAGGUUGGCUGGAAGUACCAGGCAGUGACAGCCACCCUGGAGGAGAAGAGGAAAGAGAAAGCCAAGAUCCACUACCGGAAGAAGAAACAGCUCAUGAGGCUACGGAAACAGGCCGAGAAGAACGUGGAGAAGAAAAUUGACAAAUACACAGAGGUCCUCAAGACCCACGGACUCCUGGUCUG
rnacentral:sRNA from 1 species